CAUUUCCACUUUGAUUUCAGGUGGGAUCGACCCAUCGAAAAAUGCAAGACCAACCGAUUCUUGAGGUACCACGAAUGUCGACUCAUUUUUUUAAUGAUUUUGGCACUAACAGUACAUUCAUGGAUUGGUCGAGUAAGACAGUUUUCAAAAAUUCAAAGUCUUGAAAGGGAGCCUCCGCUGGUAUGGGACAUCGAAACCAAGCUUUCACAUAAUGCUGAAUUAUGAAGAUUGACACCUCCCUCAACCCAUUCAAGUCUGUUGAAUUCAGGCCAAAUUGGUGACGAAACAUAAAAAUCUUUAGACUAUAAAUGGCCUUCGACAUCCACCUCGCGUGAUGGUUUGCGCCGGGUGGAUGAAAGACCACUUGGCCUUCACUUUUUUCUAGUUUCUCCCCAAUGAAGAGUAGUGCCAGCUCCAACAGCUCUCUAUAGUCAGAUCUGUCGCAAAUGAAAGAAAGUUAGAUGUCAUCUUCUCACGGCGGCGAUAUUCCACUUACAUACCUAAAAAAUUUUCCUCUCAUUUUAUCUAUUAUGAAUUCUUUGAUGCGGGCUCUGAAUUGAGGCGUCAAGACUGCUGCAACUUUUUCAUCAGAAGUUCCGGGACUGUACUUUUUCGGGUCGAUGUUUUUCCAGGCAUUUUUGAAAUCGUCGAAAAGUUUCACCUUGUCCGAUUUUGUUUCGCCCAUGAAAAAUUCGUAAACUAGCCUCAAAAUCAGCUCGUAUAUGUGGUGACGACAAGGGAAAAACUGUAAAUGUUUGCCAAGCAUCCUUUCUAAUCUGAGAGCAGCCCCUUUGAUCUGGCCAGAAUUUACAUAAGUGGUAUCGAAGCAUAGUGAAACUAUAAAUUCGUUAAGAUCCCAAUCUUGAAUUAACUUGAAAACUGUUUCCGCCACAUUCAGUCCUUUCUCUCCAGAUAUUGGACAACCCAAGAUUUGUUCCUCAUUGUCACACAGCGCUUUUACCACCACCCGUUCUACUAACUUACGAUCAGUAAUGUUCUGAACACAUUUUCCAUCCCAGUGUAUUUUUACUAACUUUUCAGCUCCCUGCGAUACAUAAUUCUGUUUAACAAUGACACGGUUUAUAGUUAGCCUUUGCUGCACAAAAAAAUCCAAAAAUAAAUUUAGACUUACUAUGAAAUUGUCUUGUAUCUCAUGGAACUUCGUUCCUCUAUUUGCCUGCCGUUUACGUCUUAUUGUUGAAGUGCUUAACACAUAAUGGUUCGGAUUCAAUUUCAAUGCCUUUCAAAUAAGAAUGCUAUCAACUUUAACGAAUGAUGAGAGAAACUUUGCAAAUACCUUUAACGUCGGUACUAGCAAACGCAUCAUACAAGGGUUACUGACUCUACAUUUGUCAAUUGCAGAAGCCAUGUCGCUGUUAAUGAAUUUAAUUUUGGGGCUUGUCGCAGACUCUGCUUGAUAGUCUUCGUCACUAUCGGUCGCUGUGGCUGAGGCACUUUUACUGGAUGCACUUGAUUCAUCCCUAGGAGGUACUUCAAUAUUUUCAUUGGUUUGUACAUUUGCACUGGAAGUCGGUUUCGGUGCUUCUUGUUCUGUGCGUUUUCUUUGUCUGCCUAAUUUACCUAUCACACCUGCAAAUCAAUAUGAACAUCUGUGUAAUAAUUGACAAGGCAACCACGAAAAUGAUAUUUUUAUACCAGGCCGACCAGGUUUUCGUUGAUUUUCCAAAAACGCUCUAAUUUCCUUGUCAUCAAUGAUGUCCAGCGCAUUUAUUGUCGAAAUGUCGAACAAGUUUUCCAGUUCGACGAUAAAUUUUUCUGUUUUAGUUUUCUCUACAGGAAACAUUGGACGAGUGCGUUUUAAUGAUUUCUUAACAUCCCGAUAUUCUUCGUAAAGGUCACAUAUGUGUUUUGUAACAGUUUUGUAGUGCUUUAAAGCAAUUGUUGGAAUGUUUGCAUAAAAUUUAAUUAUUUCGUCGUAAACUGCUUUCGCAAUAUCAUUUUGACUCAUUCUUGUAUUGGAAUUGAGAAGGUGUGAAAAGAAUCCUAACACUCGUCUGUUUGACGGCAAUUUUAUACCAGCUAUUUUCCUUAUUGGCUCAAUCGACAAUUCGGAUUCUUUACUUCCUCCGGAACUCGAGGAGCGACCUGACGAGCUUCGAGAUCCCGAAGUGUGGCGAACUCUGUCUCGCAAUUGAGUGGAGACAAUAGUAGUUGACAAUUCAGAAGAAUCCGCCUGAGACGUACUCGCCGAAGUUGCGAAAAUGGAGGAAUCUUGAGUCGAAAUUGAACAGCCCGUCGAACUUUCACUUCCUGCCAAAGUAUUGCUUCCACUUUCAGACAGACUGGAACUCGAAAUUUCCGUCGGCACUUCACUUUUCGAUCGCUUUCGAGCUCUCUUGGAACUUGGAUCUGAAAUCCGUUUACUAGUUCCCGGUUUAUUCGACAUAGUAAAUCUU